rnacentral:rRNA from 1 species
CGUUAAGGAACUCGGCAAAAUGACCCCGUAACUUCGGGAGAAGGGGUGCUGACCGCAAGGUCAGCCGCAGUGAAUAGGCCCAAGCGACUGUUUAUCAAAAACACAGGUCUCUGCAAAAUCGAAAGAUGACGUAUAGGGGCUGACGCCUGCCCGGUGCUGGAAGGUUAAGAGGAGAGGUUAGCGCAAGCGAAGCUUUGAAUUGAAGCCCCAGUAAACGGCGGCCGUAACUAUAACGGUCCUAAGGUAGCGAAAUUCCUUGUCGGGUAAGUUCCGACCCGCACGAAAGGCGUAACGAUUUGGGCACUGUCUCAACGAGAGACUCGGUGAAAUUAUAGUACCAGUGAAGAUGCUGGUUACCCGCGACAGGACGGAAAGACCCCAUGGAGCUUUACUGCAGUUUGAUAUUGCGUGUUUGUAUCACAUGUACAGGAUAGGUAGGAGCCGAAGAUACCGGGACGCCAGUCUCGGAGGAGGCAACGGUGGGAUACUACCCUUGUGAUAUGACCACUCUAACCCGCUGCUCUUAGCGAGCAGGGAGACAGUGUCAGACGGGCAGUUUGACUGGGGCGGUCGCCUCCAAAAAUGUAACGGAGGCGCCCAAAGGUUCCCUCAGAAUGGUUGGAAAUCAUUCGUAGAGUGUAAAGGCAGAAGGGAGCUUGACUGCGAGACCUACAAGUCGAGCAGGGACGAAAGUCGGGCUUAGUGAUCCGGUGGUUCCGCAUGGAAGGGCCAUCGCUCAACGGAUAAAAGCUACCCUGGGGAUAACAGGCUUAUCUCCCCCAAGAGUUCACAUCGACGGGGAGGUUUGGCACCUCGAUGUCGGCUCAUCGCAUCCUGGGGCUGUAGUCGGUCCCAAGGGUUGGGCUGUUCGCCCAUUAAAGCGGUACGCGAGCUGGGUUCAGAACGUCGUGAGACAGUUCGGUCCCUAUCCGUCGCGGGCGUUGGAAAUUUGAGAGGAGCUGUCCUUAGUACGAGAGGACCGGGAUGGACACACCGCUGGUGUACCAGUUGUUCUGCCAAGAGCAUCGCUGGGUAGCUAUGUGUGGACGGGAUAAACGCUGAAAGCAUCUAAGCGUGAAGCCCCCCUCAAGAUGAGAUUUCCCAUCACUUUAAGUGAGUAAGACCCCUGAGAGAUGAUCAGGUAGAUAGGUUGGGAGUGGAAGUACAGCGAUGUAUGGAGCGGACCAAUACUAAUCGGUCGAGGACUUAAUCAA